GAAUUUUCCGCAAUGGGCGCAAGCCUGACGGAGCAACGCCGCGUGGGGGAGGAAUGUCUGUGGAUUGUAAACCCCUUUUCUCAGGGAAGAAGAACUGACGGUACCUGAGGAAUCAGCAUCGGCUAACUCCGUGCCAGCCGCCGCGGUAAGACGGAGGAUGCAAGCGUUAUCCGGAAUUAUUGGGCGUAAAGCGUCCGUAGGCGGUUUAUCAAGUCUGUUGUCAAAGACUGCAGCUUAACUGUGGGCCGGCAAUGGAAACUGAUUAACUUGAGUGCGGUAGGGGUAGAGGGAAUUCCCAGUGUAGCGGUGAAAUACGUAGAUAUUGGGAAGAACACCAGUGGCGAAGGCGCUCUACUGGGCCGUAACUGACGCUGAGGGACGAAAGCUAGGGGAGCGAAAGGG
rnacentral:rRNA from 1 species